rnacentral:rRNA from 1 species
CACGGCCCAAACUCCUACGGGAGGCAGCAGUGGGGAAUAUUGCACAAUGGGGGAAACCCUGAUGCAGCGACGCCGCGUGAGCGAAGAAGUAUUUCGGUAUGUAAAGCUCUAUCAGCAAGGAAGAUAAUGACGGUACUUGACUAAGAAGCUCCGGCUAAAUACGUGCCAGCAGCCGCGGUAAUACGUAUGGAGCAAGCGUUAUCCGGAUUUACUGGGUGUAAAGGGAGCGUAGACGGCAUGGCAAGUCUGAUGUGAAAGCCCGGGGCUCAACCCCGGAACUGCAUUGGAAACUGUCGUGCUGGAGUGCAGGAGAGGUAAGCGGAAUUCCUAGUGUAGCGGUGAAAUGCGUAGAUAUUAGGAGGAACACCAGUGGCGAAGGCGGCUUACUGGACUGUAACUGACGUUGAGGCUCGAAAGCGUGGGGAGCAAACAGGAUUAGAUACCCUGGUAGUCCACGCCGUAAACGAU